CUGAUAUCUUUAUUAUUUUGCAGUCAAUGUCAUUGACGUCCUGCGGGUGAAUAAUUAUCUGUACAGGAAAGUCUCGUGGAUGCCAUGUGCUUUUGACUGCUCCAACGUUUAACUCAACGCACAGAGACACUGUGCGUGCAGAAGCUUCACCUUCUGGCUCAACAAAUAAUGGACGGCUCUUUCAGAUGGUGCCAUGGACACGUACACGUUUAGGUCCGUAUAUGUUUGGACAUUUAGCUGUUAAUCACAGCAUCAUCGAACACUUGGGUUGUUGAUCCAGUCAGAACUGCCUCACAAAUACUGGAGAGAUGGAAAAAACAAACUAAAUCUGCUCUCCAGAAGAAGAACCCUUUGGAUCGAUAAGAAAAUAUAUCUGAUGUUGCUGCAAAUGCUGCACACUUGAGUCCAGUGUUAACCCUAAAGUCCUGUUUAGCAUGUCUGCGCCCUGUUGGAGCAGUGUAACCAUGACAACCCAUUCUGAAGAUAAGCUUCAUGUUAUUUGUCUUUGUCUUUCAGGGUGCAACAACUUCAGCCAAAAUCAUAACAACAUCCAUACAGCCAAACGGUGCUGGUGUUCACCAAGUGUUCACCAGGUUCUCAACUGGUUUUCACCAGGUUCUCAGAUGGUUUUCACCAGGUGUUCAGCUGUUUGUUUGUUUUUUUUUUUUAUCAGAUUCUCAGCUGGUUUUCAUCAGGUUCUCAGAUGGUUUUCACCAGGUUCUCAGCUGGUUUUCACCAGAUGUUCAGCUGGUUUUCACCGGGUUUUUAGAUGGUUUUCACCAGGUUCUCAACUGGUGUUCACCAGGUUUUCAUCUGGUGUUCACAAGGUGUUAAGCUGGUUUUCACCAGGUUCUUGAACAGUUUUUACCAGGUUAUCAGCUGGUUUUCACCAGGUUCUUGGACAGUUUUCACCAGGUUAUCAGCUGGUUUUCACCAGGUUAUCAGCUGGGUUUCACCAGGUUCUUGAACAGUUUUCACCAGGUUAUCAGCUGGUUUUCACCAGGUUCUUGAACAGUUUUCACCAGGUUCUCAGAUGGUUUUCACCAGGUGUUCAGCUGUUUGUUUCUUUUUUUUUUUUUAUCAGAUUCUUAGCUGGUUUUCAUCAGGUUUUUAGACGGUUUUCAGCUGAUUUUCACCAGGUUCUCAGCUGGUUUUCACCAGAUGUACAGCUGGUUUUCACCGGGUUUUUAGAUGGUUUUCACCAGGUUCUCAGCUGGUGUUCACAAGGUGUUAAGCUGGUUUUCACCAGGUUCUUGAACAGUUUUCAUCAGGUAAUCAGCUGGUUUUCACCAGGUUAUCAGCUGGUUUUCACCAGGUUCUCAGCUGGUUUUGACCAGGUUCUCAGCUGGUUUUCACCAGGUUCUCAGAUGGUUUUCACCAGGUGUUCAACUGUUUCUUUGUUUUUUUUUUUAUCAGAUUCUCAGCUGGUUUUCAUCAGGUUUUUAGAUGGUUUUCAGCUGGUUUUCACCAGGUUCUCAGCUGUUUUCACCAGGUUCUCAGCUGGUUUUCACCAGGUUCUCAGCUGGUUUUAACCAGGUUCUCAGCUGGUUUUGACCAGGUUAUCAGCUGGUUUUGACCAGGUUCUUGGACAGUUUUCACCAGGUUAUCAGCUGGUUUCACCAGGUUUUUAGAUGGUUUUCACCAGGUUCUCAACUGGUGUUCACCAGGUUUUCAUCUGUUUUCACCAGGUUAUCAGCUGGUUUUCACCAGGUUAUCAGCUGGUUUUCACCAGGUUUUUAGAUGGUUUUCACCAGGUUCUCAGCUGGUGUUCACCAGGUUUUCAUCUGGUGUUCACAAGGUGUUAAGCUGGUUUUCACCAGGUUCUUGAACAGUUUUCACCAGGUUAUCAGCUGGUUUUGACCAGGUUAUCAACUGGUUUUGACCAGGUUCUUGGACAGUUUUCACCAGGUUAUCAGCUGGUUUUCACCAGGUUGUCACCAGGUUCUCGAAUGGUUUUCACCAGAUUUUUGGAUGGUUUUCACCAGGUUUUCAGCUGGUUUUCACCAGGUUGUUAGAUGAUUUUCACCAGGCUUUCAGCGGGUUUUCAGCAGGUGUUCACCUGGUUUUCAGUUCGUCCAAUGUUUUAGUCUUGGAACAGCUGCGAGGUAAACAUUUCUUGAACUGACCCGAGGACAGCCAGACCUGAUCCAAAAGCCAUCAAAUCCAAUAAGAGGGAAUACCAAUGGAUGUUGGAUCAGAUCUGCUUCACAUCCUGAGCCUGAUAAAUGCCAGCAGGGGGCCCUGUUUUCAAAUAGUUAUAAUGCAGCAGCUGCGGGCGGGGCAAACAUCAAACCAAAUGUGACAAAAAACAGCAAAUGUUUUCUGGGAUGUUGAUCCAGGCAAACGGAUUCUAAAACCCCCAUGAGGGGGCUUCUGGUCCAGAGUCUGGAAAAAAACUGUCAUGACAUUUAAAAAACAAACACGACCAAUCAAGAAGCGUGAAGGAGUUGUUUCUAAACAGGAAGUCAUUGGGUUUCACAGUGUUCAGCGACUUUAAGAGCCGUCAUUAGUCAUCUCCAUAAAAUAGAUUGGUAUUUCAACAUAUUGCUUCAUGCAGCGCGGU